rnacentral:rRNA from 1 species
UACGUGGGUGGCAAGCGUUGUCCGGAUUUACUGGGCGUAAAGAGCGCGCAGGCGGUCGUUCAAGUCGCGUGUGAAAGCCCCCGGCUCAACUGGGGAGGGUCACGCGAUACUGAUCGACUCGAAGGCAGGAGAGGGUAGUGGAAUUCCCGGUGUAGUGGUGAAAUGCGUAGAUAUCGGGAGGAACACCAGUGGCGAAGGCGACUACCUGGCCUGUUCUUGACGCUGAGGCGCGAAAGCUAGGGGAGCAAACGGG